rnacentral:rRNA from 1 species
CAGUAGCCGCGGGAAUACGGAGGGAGCUAGCGUUGUUCGGAAUUACUGGGCGUAAAGCGCACGUAGGCGGCCAUUCAAGUCAGAGGUGAAAGCCCGGAGCUCAACUUCGGAACUGCCUUUGAAACUAGAUGGCUGGAAUCUUGGAGAGGCGGGUGGAAUUCCGAGUGUAGAGGUGAAAUUCGUAGAUAUUCGGAAGAACACCAGUGGCGAAGGCGGCCCGCUGGACAAGUAUUGACGCUGAGGUGCGAAAGCGUGGGGAGCAAACAGGAUUAGAUACCCCUGUAGUCCCUGUCUCUUAUAC